rnacentral:rRNA from 1 species
UACGGGGGGGGCAAGCGUUGUUCGGAAUUACUGGGCGUAAAGGGCUCGUAGGCGGCCAACUAAGUCAGACGUGAAAUCCCUCGGCUUAACCGGGGAACUGCGUCUGAUACUGGAUGGCUUGAAUCCGGGAGAGGGAUGCGGAAUUCCGGGUGUAGUGGUGGAAUGCGUAGAGAUCCGGAGGAACACCAGCGGCGAAGGCGGGAUCCUGGACUGGUCCUGACACUCAGGAGCGAAAGCGUGGGGAGCGAUCCGG